rnacentral:rRNA from 1 species
CUAAGAAUAUUCCGCAAUGGACGAAAGUCUGACGCAGCGACGCCGCGUGGAUGAAGAAGGCCGAAAGGUUGUAAAAUCCUUUUGUCGGGGAAGAAUAAGCGUGGGAGGGAAUGCCCGCGUGAUGACAUGAACCGGCGAAUAAGCCCCGGCUAACUACGUGCCAGCAGCCGCGGUAACACGUAGGGGGCGAGCGUUGUUCGAAAUUACUGGGCGUAAAGGGCAUGUAGGCGGUUUUGUAAGCCUGGCGUGAAAUUCUGCAGCUUAGCUGUAGGACUGCGCUGGGAACUGCGAGACUGGAGUCACGGAGAGGGAGCCAGAAUUCCAGGUGUAGGGGUGAAAUCUGUAGAUAUCUGGAAGAAUACCAAUGGCGAAGGCAGGCUUCUGGCCGAUGACUGACGCUGAGGUGCGAAAGCGUGGGUAGCAAACAG